UACGGAGGGUGCAAACGUUGCUCGGAAUCAUUGGGCGUAAAGCGCACGUAGGCGGCCCAGCAAGUCGGGUGUGAAAGCCCUCGGCUCAACCGAGGAAGUGCAUUCGAAACUACUGGGCUUGGAUACUGGAGAGGAUCGCGGAAUUCCCGGUGUAGAGGUGAAAUUCGUAGAUAUCUGGAGGAACACCGGUGGCGAAGGCGGCAUCCUGGACCGGCAUUGACGCUGAGGCGCGAAAGCCAGGGGAGCAAACGGG
rnacentral:rRNA from 1 species